GGGCUCACACAAGCGGUGGAGCAUGUGGAUCAAUUCGAAGCAACGCGCAGAACCUUACCUGGGUUUGACAUGUACGGAUGCCUCCCCUGAAAAGGGAUCAGGCUGCCUUCGGGUGAAACGUGCACAGGUGUUGCAUGGCUGUCGUCAGCUCGUGCUGUGAAGUGUCGGGUUAAGUCCCUUAACGAGCGAAACCCCUGUCGCUAGUUGCCAGCGGGUCAUGCCGGGAACUCUAGCGAGACUGCCGGCGUUAAGCCGGAGGAAGGUGGGGACGACGUCAAGUCAUCAUGGCCCUUAUGCCCAGGGCGUCACACGUGCUACAAUGGGGUGUACAGAGCGACGCAAAGCCGCGAGGUAGAGCAAAUCGCACAAAACACUCCUCAGUUCAGAUUGGGGUCUGCAAUUCGACCCCAUGAAGUCGGAAUCGCUAGUAAUCGCGCAUCAGCCAUGGCGCGGUGAAUGUGUUCCUGAGCCUU
rnacentral:rRNA from 1 species